GGUGAUCUAGCUGAUACAUUAGGAAAUCAUGCUAGUUCUAUGAUACAGCAAUCUGUAUCAAGCAAAGACUUUUUGAAUGAAUGCUUGUCUUCAGAAGACCUUCUGGUUAAAGAAUCUGCUCAAUGGGCCAAGUUGGCCAUUAGUCGUGCCAUUUCUGUUUGAGGGUGUUGCCAUUCGGCAUUUUUUAUUUUCUUUCGGAAAUCCAUGCAACCUGGUGUGUUUAAGUCGAGGUCUGAGAUUGCAUGUGUCAAGUCAUCGCCAUUGUCAAGGCAACUGAAAGUUUCUAGUCUUCACGUUGUCACUAACUCUUGCAUCAUCGUCAUGGGGUCGGAUUCUUAUGUCAUUCAUGAAGUGGAUUGGGAUGGUUUCAGAGAAUCAAACUUUUUAUCUCCUUGGUUAAGUCAUCCCGAUUGUCAAGACAAAUAAAGUCACUAGUCUUCACGUUGUCAUUAACUCUUGCAUCAUCAUGGAGUCGGGUUCCAAUUUCAUUCAUGAAAUAGGGGGAAUCUUUCAAAACUCGAACGGUUCAAAGGGGGAGGAAUCAGCAACCGUAACAUGUCUGAUUCAAUAACUAGUCAGGUACCUCGGCCACUUGCUGUAUUACCGCUCUGCUUGUGAUUUGUCAAUUUAAGGUCCAUUGGGAUGAAUGGCUGAGGAUGUGGUUCAAGUGCGGCAAUACUUCAAAGACAUAUCUCAUGUACUGUAUUUCACCAUUGUCUCACCCAGUUUUGGUUCCCUAGUGUUCUGCCACAUAUUUUGUCAAGUACACAUCAGUUGGGUUUCAUUUAACCAUCGCCGCUUCUUUUUUUAUAUUAAUGGGGUUCGGUCCUUUUGGUACAUAUAAAUGGAGUUUGGUGGUUAUCCACAUGCUGCAUUUUUCUUUGUGGGGGAGGGGGGAGCAUUCCAUCCUGCAUCCCAUCAUUGUUCUUUUGGUUUGCGUUUCUUUUUGGGUUCGUUGAUUUGAAUUUUACCAAAUUCUGGAGUCAGUUUGUUCAAGUAUCAUGCAUUCAUUCAUAAAUUUCCUUUAUUUUCCCUUUAUAUGCAAUAUAAAUUAUAUUAUAUUAUUUUUUAUAGAUUAAGGGAUAAAUAUCAGAAUUAUAAUGAGUUUUAGUCCGAAAUGUAAUUUGAUGCAUGGUCUUUAAUUUAGUGCAAUUUUACGUAUAAAAUUUUAAUUGUGUAUACCUUUAAAAAUCUAAAUACAUUAAAUUAUUUAUAUAUUGAAUUAAUAUAGUUAUAUGUAUAUACAAUAUGUUAACAUAAAAUGAUGUUAUAUCGAUAAUUAUGAUAGUGAUUUCUGAAAAUUAAAUCAUAUCAAUACUUAAUGUAAAUUAUACAAAAUUAAAGUUUAUGUAUAAUAUUACACAUUGAUAGUUUACAUGUAAUUUUAAAUUUUAUUCCUGAAUUUUAUAGAUAAAAUUACCAACUGCAUUACCUAAAUCUUUGAUUCGAUUAAUAUUUUUAUAAUAAUAUAUAUAAUUGAGGUUAAAUAAGACAUUCUAUAAAAUAACUAUUUAAAUGGGAUAGGAUCAAUUUGAAGUUUAUGAAAAUAUGUUCUAAGAGGACAAGAUUGGAUAACUUUGAAUAAAAUAAUCGUACAGAUUUUGUAAAGAACUUUUCCUUUUAUAGUUAAUAAAAUCUGUCUUAAUAAUGGUAUUACAACGAAUUAUUAACCAAAGUUUACGCCAACCACAAAAUAUAAAUGAAAAAAGAUAAGAGCUGAACCAGAAAGGGUUAUUAACCAUCUAUUUAAAUAUAUUAUAUUCUUUAUUUUUGCAAAUCUUUUCUUGGAUAUUAUCAAGUGGUCCAUGGUAAUAUAUAUAUAUAUCCAUGCUUAUUCACCUAUAGUUUUAUUUUUGUUUUUCUAUACCAUAAUUAAAAGAUGCCUAAUUCUUUUUAGCUGUCAAGUGGAGGAUGGUUCAAAUGUAUGUUUUUCAAUUUAUUAUAAUAGUAAUGAUAUCAUUUGUACUAAACAAGGUAUAAUUUUAUUUAUAAACCCUUCUAACUUUUAAAUCCAAUAAAAGAGUAUACUUAUAAACACUCAAAUUUUGAAUACGAAUAAUAAAAUAAAUAUGAAGAAUGUCAAAAAAAAAUAUAAAUUCUUUAUUAAAAAAUCUCUUACAUUAUUUUUAAGAAAAUAUCGGAGUUACAAUUCAAGCCGCUGGUUUUAUUAAAUGAUAUUAUCUAGAUUAUUAAAUAUAAGUUAGAGGUUUGGAAAUUAAGAUAAUCCUAAAUUCAAAUUAUCAUUUUAAUAAAAUAGUUAGGGAAGUAAAAUACAUUAUCGUAAUACAUUUGAAAUAAAAUAAAUUCAAAAACUAAUUCCUUUUCAAAAAGUAAUUUAAAAAUUAUAUUGUUUGUAUAAAUUAUUGAGUCCAGCUCCAAAUCCGCGUCUCCUUCUCGUUCAUCCUUUUUUGCGUUUUCUCUCUCCAAUUAUUACGUCUUAUUCAGCCGCUCUUCUCCGAUCGGUGAAAGGUAAAGCUUGCAUCUGAAUUUUAAGCUUAUUUUGUUAAAUUCCCCUCUACAAAUUUCAUGUUAAUUUGAAAUUAGGGUUUCUAAUUGUGAUUUUGGAUAUUUGAUAUUGAAUGCAUUGAUUCGCUUUCUGUUUAUUUGUAAUACUAAUUCAAGUGUUAUAUUCAUUUCCUUCCCAAGAUUUGAAUGAUCGAAUUUUUAAGUGUUGACUUUAUUUAAUUUAAAUCUACUUCGAUCUAGGUUUAUCUUUGGUUUUAUCUGUUACAUUUCAGAUUUUAAGUUUUUAAUAUCCAAUUGGCACAAUUGAUCUUUAAUAUUCAAGUGUUCAUUUCAGCUGCUAGGUAAGUAGAAAUGACAAUAGGGUUUUCUUGGACCGAUUUGAUUUUUUCAUUUAUUUUUUUAACUACAUAUUGGUUUUAUUCUUGUUAUUGUCAUUUACUCUUUUCGAUGAAUUGUAAGGUAACAGUAUGCGUUUCCUUUUUAUUUAUUUUAUUUUUGGUACCUUUUAUGUUUUUCUGGAAUGGGGUUUUAGAAUAUCUACCUUAUUUACCUCUGACUUACUGUUUAUCUCAUUUAUUGAAUCAUUGAUGCUUUCAGAAAUAUUAUGGCUAUGGAGGUUACGCAGGUGCUUCUGAAUGCACAAUCAAUAGAUGGAGCUGUGCGAAAAAAUGCAGAAGAUAGCUUGAAACAGUUUCAGGAGCAAAACCUUCCUGUUUUUUUGGUCUCGCUUUCUGGGGAGUUGGCAAACGAGGAGAAGCCUGUUGAAACACGUAAAUUAGCUGGUUUGGUACUUAAGAAUGCAUUGGAUGCCAAGGAACAACACAGGAAGUUUGAGCUUGUUCAAAGAUGGUUGUCAUUGGAUGGCAAUGCAAAAAGCCAGAUUAAGGCAUGCUUGCUGACGACUUUGACAUCUCCGGUAUCGGAUGCUCGUUCAACUGCAUCUCAAGUCAUUGCAAAGGUUGCUGGCAUUGAGUUGCCACAUAAACAGUGGCCUGAGUUAAUAGGUUCACUUUUAUCAAAUGUUCAUCAGCUACCAGCUCAAGCUAAGCAAGCCACUUUGGAGACGCUUGGAUAUUUGUGUGAGGAGGUGUCCCCUGAUGUUAUCGAUCAAGAUCAAGUAAAUAAAAUUCUUACAGCUGUAGUUCAAGGCAUGAGUUCAUCGGAGGGAAACACUGAUGUGAGGCUUGCUGCAACCAGAGCACUUUACAAUGCAUUGGGCUUUGCGCAAGCAAAUUUCAGCAAUGACAUGGAGCGUGAUUAUAUCAUGAGAGUUGUCUGUGAGGCAACGCUGUCCCCAGAAGUGAGGAUAAGACAAGCUGCUUUCGAAUGUUUGGUAUCCAUUUCAUCAACUUAUUAUGAAAAAUUAGCUCCAUAUAUUCAAGAUAUUUUCAACAUUACAGCAAAGGCUGUGAGGGAAGAUGAGGAACCUGUUGCUCUUCAAGCCAUUGAGUUUUGGAGCUCAAUAUGUGAUGAGGAGAUAGAUAUUUUGGAAGAAUAUGGAGGUGAUUUCACUGGUGACUCAGAUAUUCCUUGCUUUUAUUUUAUCAAGCAGGCGCUCCCUGCCCUCGUUCCUAUGCUGUUGGAGACACUAUUGAAGCAGGAGGAGGAUCAGGAUCAGGAUGAAGGGGCUUGGAAUAUUGCAAUGGCUGGUGGAACAUGUCUUGGUUUGGUUGCACGGACUGUUGGAGAUGAUAUAGUACCUCUUGUUGUGCCAUUUAUUGAGGAAAAUAUUUCAAAACCGGAUUGGAGGCAGCGGGAGGCAGCAACUUAUGCCUUUGGUUCAAUCUUGGAGGGCCCUUCUCCAGAAAAGUUAAUACCCCUUGUGAAUGUUGCCCUUACUUUUAUGCUCAGUGCUUUGACAAAGGACCCCAAUAGCCAUGUCAAAGACACAACAGCCUGGACCCUGGGACGUAUCUUUGAAUUUCUUCAUGGUUCAGUUGUUGAUUCUCCCAUCAUCAGUCAAGCAAAUUGCCAACAGAUUAUUACAGUUCUGCUACAGAGCAUGAAGGACACUCCAAAUGUUGCUGAGAAGGCCUGUGGUGCUCUCUAUUUUCUUGCUCAAGGUUAUGAGGAGAUGGGUCCAUCAUCUCCUUUAACUCCCUUUUUCCAGGAAAUUGUCCAGUCCCUUCUCACUGUCAGUCACAGAGAAGAUGCCGGUGAAUCUCGGCUGAGGACUGCUGCUUAUGAGACACUGAAUGAAGUGGUGAGGUGUUCAACUGAUGAGACUGCUCCAUUGGUGUUGCAAUUGGUUCCUGUCAUCAUGAUGGAGCUUCACAACACACUUGAGGGCCAGAAACUCUCAUCCGAUGAAAGGGAAAAGCAGAGUGAAUUGCAAGGCCUUCUUUGUGGGUGUUUGCAAGUCAUUAUUCAAAAGCUUGGUGCAUCAGAACCAACGAAAUAUGUGUUCAUGCAGUAUGCAGAUCAGAUUAUGGGACUUUUCCUUCGGGUUUUUGCUUGUAGGAGUGCUACCGUACAUGAGGAGGCCAUGCUUGCUAUUGGAGCUCUUGCUUAUGCAACAGGAGCAGAUUUUGCAAAAUACAUGCCGGAGUUUUAUAGGUAUUUGGAAAUGGGUCUUCAGAAUUUUGAAGAGUACCAGGUCUGCGCUGUGACAGUCGGUGUUGUGGGUGAUAUUUCCAGGGCACUGGAGGAAAAAAUUGUGCCUUACUGUGAUGGUAUUAUGACACAACUUCUCAAGAAUUUGUCGAGCAACCAGUUGCAUCGCUCUGUGAAGCCUCCCAUAUUUUCAUGCUUUGGUGACAUUGCAUUGGCAGUGGGAGAGUAUUUUGAAAAGUAUCUAAUGUGGGCCAUGUCUGCACUUCAGAGCGCUGCAGAGUUGUCUACCCAUAUAGCAGGUGAUGAUGAAUUGGUAGAGUACACAAACUCCCUUAGAAACGGAAUCCUGGAGGCAUAUUCCGGGAUUUUUCAAGGGUUUAAGAACUCUCCCAAAACCCAGCUGUUGAUUCCUUAUGCACCUCACAUCCUCCAGUUUUUGGAUGGCAUAUACAUGGAGAAAGACAUGUGAGUUCUAUUCAAAUUUACAGUACUAUGCCUUUCUAACCUGUGGUUAUCAACUUAUUUUAAUGUAUCUUAUUUCCUACAGGGAUGAUGUGGUGAUGAAGACUGCCAUUGGAGUCCUUGGUGAUCUGGCUGAUACAUUAGGAAGUCAUGCUGGUUCUAUGAUACAGCAAUCUGUCUCGAGCAAAGACUUUUUGAAUGAAUGCUUGUCUUCAGAAGACCUUAUGAUUAAAGAAUCUGCUGAAUGGGCCAAGUUGGCCAUUAGUCGUGCCAUUUCUGUUUGAGGGUGUUGCCAUUCAGCAUGUUUAUUUCUUUUCGAAGUCCAUGCAUUUGGGAAUGUCUAGGGUCUUGGGUUGCAUGUGUCGU
rnacentral:lncRNA from 1 species